rnacentral:rRNA from 1 species
AUUGAACGCUGGCGGCAGGCCUAACACAUGCAAGUCGAGCGGAUGAGUGGAGCUUGCUCCAUGAUUCAGCGGCGGACGGGUGAGUAAUGCCUAGGAAUCUGCCCUGGUAGUGGGGGACAACGUUUCGAAAGGAACGCUAAUACCGCAUACGUCCUACGGGAGAAAGCAGGGGACCUUCGGGCCUUGCGCUAUCAGAUGAGCCUAGGUCGGAUUAGCUAGUAGGUGAGGUAAUGGCUCACCUAGGCGACGAUCCGUAACUGGUCUGAGAGGAUGAUCAGUCACACUGGAACUGAGACACGGUCCAGACUCCUACGGGAGGCAGCAGUGGGGAAUAUUGGACAAUGGGCGAAAGCCUGAUCCAGCCAUGCCGCGUGUGUGAAGAAGGUCUUCGGAUUGUAAAGCACUUUAAGUUGGGAGGAAGGGUAGUAACCUAAUAACGUUGCUAACUUUGACGUUACCGACAGAAUAAGCACCGGCUAACUUCGUGCCAG